AAGCGGUUUGUCUUUUGUAAUGUUGUCAAAUAUCCACAGGCACAAUCGGAUUUUCCUCAAUCGACAAAUCUUGAUGUGGUGUCGUGAUGUGAAACUACCCAAUUUUAACCUCCGUUGGUCUUGGGGUCAAAAGUUGUGAAUGUCGGUACCUUCUUUCUCAUUUUCAAACGUUAAUGGAAAAAAGAAAGAAAAGAAGCAACAAAGAAAUGUAUUGAAGAUUAGAAAAAUGAAAUUCAACGUAAAAAUGAUGAAUGUCUACUGUGAAA
rnacentral:lncRNA from 1 species